rnacentral:rRNA from 1 species
UACGUAGGGUGCGAGCGUUAAUCGGAAUUACUGGGCGUAAAGCGUGCGCAGGCGGUUUUGUAAGCCAGAUGUGAAAUCCCCGGGCUUAACCUGGGAAUGGCAUUUGGGACUGCAAGGCUCGAGUGCGGCAGAGGAGACUGGAAUUCCUGGUGUAGCAGUGAAAUGCGUAGAUAUCAAGAGGAACACCAGUGGCGAAGGCGAGUCCCUGGACAAUACCUGACACUGAGGCACGAAAGCUAGGGGAGCAAACAGG